GGAAGUAAAACUCGUAACAAGGUCUCCGUUGGUGAACCAGCGGAGGGAUCAUUAUCGAGUUUAUAACUCCCAAACCCUAUGUGAACUUACCACUUGUUGCUUCGGCGCGCGCUUCGGUGCCGCCGAGGACACUUAAACUCUUUGUUUUUAUAAGCAUUUCUGAGUGGCCGAAAGGCAAAAUACAAAUGAAUCAAAACUUUCAACAACGGAUCUCUUGGUUCUG
rnacentral:misc_RNA from 1 species